rnacentral:rRNA from 1 species
GGGUGAGUAACGCGUGGGAACAUACCCUUUCCUGCGGAAUAGCUCCGGGAAACUGGAAUUAAUACCGCAUACGCCCUACGGGGGAAAGAUUUAUCGGGGAAGGAUUGGCCCGCGUUGGAUUAGCUAGUUGGUGGGGUAAAGGCCUACCAAGGCGACGAUCCAUAGCUGGUCUGAGAGGAUGAUCAGCCACAUUGGGACUGAGACACGGCCCAAACUCCUACGGGAGGCAGCAGUGGGGAAUAUUGGACAAUGGGCGCAAGCCUGAUCCAGCCAUGCCGCGUGAGUGAUGAAGGCCUUAGGGUUGUAAAGCUCUUUCACCGAUGAAGAUAAUGACGGUAGUCGGAGAAGAAGCCCCGGCUAACUUCGUGCCAGCAGCCGCGGUAAUACGAAGGGGGCUAGCGUUGUUCGGAAUUACUGGGCGUAAAGCGCACGUAGGCGGAUAUUUAAGUCAGGGGUGAAAUCCCGCAGCUCAACUGCGGAACUGCCUUUGAUACUGGGUAUCUUGAGUAUGGAAGAGGUAA